rnacentral:rRNA from 1 species
GACGAACGCUGGCGGCGUGGAUUAGGCAUGCAAGUCGAACGGUAUCAUCCUUUCGGGGAUGAGAGAGUGGCGAACGGGUGAGUAACACGUAGGUGAUCUACCCUCAAGACGGGGACAACCCAGGGAAACUUGGGCUAAUACCGGAUGUGAGCUAUCGUGAGAUAGUUUGAAAGGUGGCUUCGGCUGCCGCUUGAGGAUGAGCCUGCGUCCUAUUAGCUAGUUGGUGAGGUAACGGCUCACCGAGGCAGUGAUAGGUAGGCGGCCUUAACGGGUGGUCGCCCACACUGGGAUUGAGAUACGGCCCAGACUCCUACGGGAGGCAGCAGUCGAGAAUAGUCUACAAUGGUCGAAAGACUGAUAGUGCGACGCCGCGUGAACGAGAAGCCCUUCGGGGUUAAAGUUCUUUUAUAUGUGAGCAGUGACAUCUAUAUUAAUAGUAUGGGUGUAGAGAUAUUAGCAUAUGAAUAAGCAACGGCUAACUCCGUGCC